UUCUAGUAUGUGUUGGGACUGAUGUGGCAAAGUCUUCCAUUUCUUACAGCUUAACUGUAGCUUUUGAAGCAUGUGGUUGAGGAGCUGAGGUGUCAUUUGAUGAAGAGUGGCCAGGCCAUUGAACCCAAUAGACAUGGCCCUAAAUGUGAGCCACAGAAUCAAAGCAACGGCACCACCUGUCUUUUCUGCAUUUGUAUGAGGACAGAUGAAGAAGGCUGCUGGUUAAGUUCAUUAACAUUGUCUAGAAAAUUGUAUUGAGAUCUUAAGCAAAUUGCAACUACAAACAUGUGACUCUUUGUUUGUUUGCUUGUGUUUUGGGGAUUGAACUUGAGUCCUUGUGCUUUUGAGGCAGGCUGUGGAACCACUGAGCUAAAUUCCCGGCCCAGUAACUCUUGACAAAGCUUCCUUCCUUGGUCAAACUGCAGUCAGGCUCUGGAACCUUUUCCUAAGCCCGUCCGUGCACUUUCCUAUGAAAUCCAGUUUCAGCAAGAAGCCUGCCGAGUCAGUUUAGCAGGAACCGCUGUCUGUAAUAGCCGGUCAAUAUUCCAUCAGGAUCCUCACCUGCUACCAUAUCCAGGUGACACUGACUGCACUACUCUGCCUUCAGCAAGAAUCCUGGUCAGAUGGUUCAGCCCGACUCCCCCUUAACUGGGCGUCUCCUCUUAGUGAUUUUCCAUGCAUGGACCCUGCCCUGCGCCUUGGCUAAAAAUCCCCACUUGCCUAUGCUGUUUUUGGAGUUGAGCCCAGUCUUGCUCAGUUCAGAAUCUCACCGCUGUGGUCCUUAUGUUUAUCCCAGUGGUCCGGAAUAGUCUGCUUUACCGGGUGUACUCAGUGUCAUCGGACAACUGCUUCUCAAAUGCUCUUUGUCACUGGAUUUUCAGGUAUUUUGGUGCUCAUUCCUGUCAGCCAGGUGGGGACGUAACCCUGAGCCUCACAUGUGACGAGCAGAGGCACCAGAGCGCCCAGCGUGACUGGAGGCACCCAGCUUCCUAGGGCUCCGUGGGCCCCUCCUCUGCCCAGAGAACCCCCACAUUCACCACAUUCUCCAGGACCGUCGAAGCCCAGGCUGGCCUCAAACCCACGGUGAUCCUCCCACCUCAGCCUCCAGAAUGCUGGUUAUGGGUGUGUGCCACUACACCCAGUGAGAUUUCUUCAUAGAAGAACACUGCUGGCCUUGAACUCAUUAUGUAGCCCACAUGGCCUCAAACUCAUGGAAAUCCUGCUGCCUCAGCCUUCCGAGUGCUGAUAGUACAGUGCUGGAGGCUGGAAGUUCAAGAUCAAGGUGCAAGUAGGACCAGGUUCCUCUGAGUCCUGGCUUCUUGGGUUGCAGGUGGUCACCUUCCUGCUGCCUGUAUUGUUUAAAGAAUGAAGCAACAACUCCACUAUGCAGGAAGGUGCUUUGGCAUUGGGUUCUUUGUGGGCAGAGUGGCCUCUCUCUUUUCUAUCAGGUAGAUGGUCCUGUCACCCACACUGGCUUCUUACUCUGUUGUGACCCUUUUUCAAUUUCAACACAGAAGACUUCCCCAUCCUUGAUUCCCAGGGUUCUAAGGAAUGAAAAACACUAACCCUGCAAUCCUUAUCACCAAGAACUGUGCACCCUAGUGACAUGUAAAGUUUCCUUCAACACUUUUAGGGUCAAGGUUCUAGCAAACAAAAAGGACAAAGAAAGAAAAGUAGAGCAAAAGAUGUUGUUUCUGUUGCUAAGAUUUCAGGAGAAGGGAUCAAACUGAGGACCUUGUGCUCGCGAGGUACCGUGAAGAACUCCCAUUUCACAGAUGAGGAAACGGAGGCAGGAAGAGCAUGAGUCAUGUGGCCAAGGUUUCAGAUGAUACAUGGCAGAGCCAGGACCAGGGAUUGAGUCCACACAGACAGAGUGUGAGCUCCAAGUCCCGCUUCUCUUCAGCGUUAGAAUGGAGAAAUGAGAGAGACACACGUGGGACCACUACAUGCCUCUGCUCAAGAAUUGUGCAUUGCAACUGGGGAUGCCAGAGCUUUCCCGGUGAAAACAUCACCAUUUAAAAAUGCCAUCAUCCAAAUGUAUUUCCUGCUCAUUGGGGCCAAGCAAGAACAAUUAUGUGGUUCUACAGCACCAUGGGAACCCAACUCUCGCUGUGUUUCUGGCCAGCAUGAACAAGCUCUAUGGCCUUUCCUGUCUCCAAAAAACAAAAGCCUACAUGCAAGAAUUCUUUUGUUUGGAGACAGGAUCUUGCUCUGUAGCUCAGUCUGGCCACAAACUCGUGGCAAUCCUCCUGCCUCAGCCUCACAAGUGCUGGGAUUACAGGCCUGUGCCACCAGCCUGGCUUCGUGCAAGAAUUCUUAUUCAUAAGCUACAGUUUAUAAAGUUUUAUCAAGUGCCAACAUUAAAACCCAAUUUACUUAUUUCCCUUCAA
ensembl:lncRNA